GGGCUUGCUCCGGCAGCACAUACACUAAAAUUGGAAGGAUACAGAGAAGAUUAGCACAGCCCCUGUGCAAGGAUGACACACAAAUUCGUGAAGCUUCCAUAUUUUUA
ensembl:snRNA U6 U6 spliceosomal RNA